rnacentral:tRNA from 1 species
AUGGAGUUGGCAGAGAACAUGCAGUUGACUUAGGAUCAACAGACAAAAAUUAGAAUUUUUACUCCAU